AGAAUCAACGCUGGCGGCGUGCCUAACACAUGCAAGUCGAACGAGAAAGUGGAGCAAUCCAUGAGUAAAGUGGCGCACGGGUGAGUAACACGUGACUAACCUACCCUUGAGUGGGGGAUAACCUAGAGAAAUCUGGGCUAAUACCGCAUAAUACCUUCGGGUCAAAGGAGCAAUUCGCUUAAGGAGGGGGUCGCGGCCGAUUAGUUAGUUGGCGGGGUAAUGGCCCACCAAGACUGUGAUCGGUAUCCGGCCUGAGAGGGCGCACGGACACACUGGAACUGAAACACGGUCCAGACUCCUACGGGAGGCAGCAGUGGGGAAUUUUGCGCAAUGGGGGAAACCCUGACGCAGCAACGCCGCGUGGAGGAUGAAGCCCCGUUGGGGCGUAAACUCCUUUCGAUCGGGAAGAUAAUGACGGUACCGAGAGAAGAACGCCCCGGCUAACUUCGUGCCAGCAGCCGC
rnacentral:rRNA from 1 species